GACGAACGCUGGCGGCGUGCUUAACACAUGCAAGUCGAACGAAGAGCGACGGAAGCUUGCUUCUAUCAAUCUUAGUGGCGCACGGGUGAGUAACGCGUAAUCAACCUGCGCUUCAGAGGGGGACAACAGUUGGAAACGACUGCUAAUACCGCAUACGAUCUAAUCUCGGCAUCGAGGAUGGAUGAAAGGUGGCCUCUACAUGUAAGCUAUCACUGAAGGCGGGGAUUGCGUCUGAUUAGCUAGUUGGAGGGGUAACGGCCCACCAAGGCGAUGAUCAGUAGCCGGGCUGGGAGGAGGGACGGCCACAAUGGGACUGAGACACGGCCCAGACUACUACGGGAAGCAGCAGUGGGGAAUCUUCCGCAAUGGACGAAAGUCUGACGGAGCAACGCCGCGUGAGGGAUGACGGCCUUCGGGUUGGAAAGCUCUGUUAAUCGGGACGAAAGGCCUUCUUGCGAAUAGUGAGAAGGAUUGACGGUACCGGAAUAGAAAGCCACGGCUAACUACGUG
rnacentral:rRNA from 1 species